UUCCUGGUGGUCCAGUGGCUAAGACUCCACAUUCCUAAUGCAGAGGGCCCAGGUUUGAUCCCUGGUCAAGGAA
rfam:Ovis aries breed Texel chromosome 17, whole genome shotgun sequence.